rnacentral:rRNA from 1 species
CCUACGGGUGGCAGCAGUGAGGAAUAUUGGUCAAUGGGCGGAAGCCUGAACCAGCCAAGUAGCGUGAGGGAUUAAGGCCCUACGGGUCGUAAACCUCUUUUGCCGGGGAAUAACACCCUGCACGUGUCCUGGUCUGCAGGUACCCUGCGAAUAAGGGCCGGCUAAUUCCGUGCCAGCAGCCGCGGUAAUACGGAAGGCCCGAGCGUUAUCCGGAUUUUUUGGGGUUAAAGGGAGCGUAGGCGGGUUGUUAAGUCAGUUGGGAAAUUUGGCGGCUCAACCGUAAAACUGCAGUUGAUACUGGAAGCCUUGAGUACAGUGGAGGUAGGCGGAAUUCGUGGUGUAGCGGUGAAAUGCUUAGAUAUCACGAAGAACUCCGAUUGCGAAGGCAGCCUGCUGGGCUGCGACUGACGCUGAUGCUCGAAAGUGUGGGUAUCAAACAGGAUUAGAUACCCCUGUAGUC